GACGAACGCUGGCGGCGUGCUUAACACAUGCAAGUCGAACGGAAAGGCCCUGCUUUUGUGGGGUGCUCGAGUGGCGCACGGGUGAGUAACACGUGAGUAACCUGCCCUUGACUUUGGGAUAACUUCAGGAAACUGGGGCUAAUACCGGAUAGGAGCUCCUGCUGCAUGGUGGGGGUUGGAAAGUUUCGGCGGUUGGGGAUGGACUCGCGGCUUAUAAGCUUGUUGGUGGGGUAGUGGCCUACCAAGGCUUUGACGGGUAGCCGGCCUGAGAGGGUGACCGGCCACAUUGGGACUGAGAUACGGCCCAGACUCCUACGGGAGGCAGCAGUGGGGAAUAUUGCACAAUGGGCGGAAGCCUGAUGCAGCAACGCCGCGUGCGGGAUGACGGCCUUCGGGUUGUAAACCGCUUUCGCCUGUGACGAAGCGUGAGUGACGGUAAUGGGUAAAGAAGCACCGGCUAACUACGUG
rnacentral:rRNA from 1 species